AGAGUUUGAUCCUGGCUCAGAGUGAACGCUAGCGGUGCGCCUAACACAUGCAAGUCGAGUGGGUUUAGACCCACGGCGAACGGCUGAGUAACACGUUGGAACCUGCCCCGAACUCAGGGAUAACCCGCCGAAAGGCGGGCUAAUACCGGAUGGUCCCGCAAGGGUAAAGCUUUUGCGGUUCGGGAGGGGCCUGCGGCCUAUCAGUUUGUUGGUAAGGUAACGGCUUACCAAGACUAUGACGGGUAACUGGUCUGAGAGGACGACCAGUCAGAAUGGGACUGAGACACGGCCCAUACUCCUACGGGAGGCAGCAGUGAGGAAUCUUCCGCAAUGGGCGAAAGCCUGACGGAGCGACGCCGCGUGAAGGAUGACGCCCUUUCCGGGCGUAAACUUCUGUUCUGAGGGACGAAAUUUGACGUACCUCA
rnacentral:rRNA from 1 species